UUUAUCAAAUCUUACUGAAUCAGUUCAAGUGUCUUCUCUCCCCACUCCCCCUCCAUCCCCAAAUACACAAAUAUCAGGGGUGUCUGUUACUGAAGUGGAAGGAAAGCGAAAGGAAGCCCUACCGCUUCAUGGACUCCAUACUCACAGUGUCCUGAAUCACUUCGCUUUUCUCUGGGUUUUCCUCUAGAUAAAUCCUCUCUUUCAGGGCACUCUUGGGACUCUAAAAAAAGACAUUCAGUUCAUUUCAACAGGCUCCCCAAAAAGGGACAAGGAAAAAUAGGGUGGAAAACAAGGUUCCGGAUUUCACAUUUGUAUUUGAAACCACAAAGGAUCUUGCAUCAUACCUCACUCUACUAUUUUUUUCCCCGACUUUGGCAAGGCACUUAUUCUCUUGGCCUUUUGAGUUUUAUGCUGAUGAACAAUAUCACACUAACAGAAUAGUUGUACCUCAUCUCCAGGACUGAGGGCUAAUUUCUACCAAAUAAACCUAACUGGAUGCAUUAUGUAUCUCUCAAACUAGUUAUGUCAAAGUCAAACUCUGUCUUUAUCCACCACUUCUAACCCCCUCUGCCCCCAACUGUUUCUUUCUAUGCAAGUUAAAAGCAUUUUGGCCUAUUUAUAGGAGAGAGAUUAAGUUUCUAUUUUUCUGUGAGUAUCGUGUAGAAGUGAUGUGUGGAUUCUUCUAAAAUUUACAGAGUAUGUAUGUUUGGGAUGACCGAAUACAAAACACAAAGAAUAUGAUGUGUGGAACUUCGAUUCUGGAGGAUGAGGAACACUCCACAGCAACGGAGCCAUUCGUCAGAGCAGCUGAAAAUGAGACACAUAUUGAUGAAAUAAUGUCAUGGAUUUACUUGAAAAGAAUCCUGUAUUUGAAGGGUGUGAAGAAUGAGGGAUACAGACAGAACAAGUUUGAGCACUCUUGAUGACUUCUGAGGCUGGGUGAUCAAGAUCUGCCAGACUUUGGAGACAUGGAGUCAAAUAAGACUGUCCCUGUCCUCUCAAGAAACUAUCAAAUGGUAAAGACGAGCCAUGAAAACAGGAGAAGCAGCAGUGAAUCUAAAAGGAGAAUGUGAGAAGGACCUCCCAAAAACAGUACUUCUAGAACAACUUGAAGGCCUCUAAAACCUGAACUCAAGCCUCUGUUUCUAAGAUAAACUCUAGUCAUUCCAUUCAUCAUCCCAAAUACCAGUAAAAUUUUCACUGC